rnacentral:rRNA from 1 species
UACAGAGGGGGCGAGCGUUGUUCGGAAUUACUGGGCGUAAAGGGCGCGUAGGCGGCCUUCUAAGUCGAACGUGAAAUCCCCGGGCUCAACCCGGGAACUGCGUCCGAUACUGGGAGGCUUGAAUCCGGGAGAGGGAUGUGGAAUUCCAGGUGUAGCGGUGAAAUGCGUAGAUAUCUGGAGGAACAUCGGUGGCGAAGGCGGCAUCCUGGACCGGUAUUGACGCUGAGGCGCGAAAGCCAGGGGAGCAAACGGG